AAAGAAGUUGUUUGAUACUAUAACUAGAAAGGGGUAUAGACCUGAUGUUGUUUGCUACACUACUUUAAUCAAUUGGUAUUGCAAGAAUAAAGAAGUCAAUGAAGCUCUUAGUCUUUAUCGGGAGAUGAUUUCAAAAGGAAUUAGGCCUAAUGUGAUUACAUAUACCACCUUGUUAACUGGCUUUUUUCUUAUAGCUAAGGUGAAAGAUGCACGGAAUUUGGUUGGUGAGAUCGACUUAACGAUGUUUUCCCUGAUUCCUGGACAUAUAACAUUUUCAUUGAUGGACUUUGCAAGAAUGGAUGUGUUUUGGAAGCAUUGGAAAUGUUUAAUACUCUAGUAAUUAAUAAGUUUGCAGUUGGCAUUGAAGGUUUGAGUUCCCUCAUUGAUGGAUUAUGUAAAACAGGGAGAUUCGAAACUGCUUGGGACCUAUUUUAGAAAUUUUCUCUUCAUGGAAACCUGGUGCCAAACGUUGUAACAUAUAGCAUUUUGAUCAAUGGGAUGUGUAAAAAUGGAGCACUAGAAAUGGCAAACGAGUUGUUGUCAUAUAUGGAGGAAAGAGGUUGUGCUCCAAAUGUAGUCACAUUUAAUACGCUUAUGUCUUGUUUCCUCAGGAAUAAUGAGAUACCAAAAGUUGUUGAACUCCUUCAAAAGAUGGGGGAGAAAAAUGUGAAGCCGACUGAAUGUACAAUGUCCUUAGUCAUGUUGUUACUAAUGAAGGCCGAAAAUUAUAGUGAAUGUUUGAACAAGCUUCCUCAAUUUCUGGUCCAAAAGCGAAAUUGAAGUUUACUUGAUAAAACUUUAGUGAGUAUUAAACUUUUUUUCAGAGCAGAAUCCUGCAAAAGUUCAUCCAGCUGCCCAAAUGCUCUAUAUUGGUUAUGGUAAGCAGAAGAUUCAAUAAACACUUUUAUCUGUUCGAAUUUGAUAGGGAUGGUGAUGGGAUGAUUGAGAAUGAUAGUUUUCUUGAUCAGACAUAUGAUACAUGAUCUGUCACUGUUGUAAGUACAUAUAUUGGAGGUGGCAGCAUUACAGGUUGCGUUGGGAUUUGCACAUGUAGUAGAUCUUAAAGGUUUGAGGAUUAUUUUUGGUGUAAAUUUUAGUAAGCAAAAGUUGUAUAUGAGGAAUUGUGGAAUGGUUCUUACUUCAACUACGACAAUAAUGGUAGCCGCUCAAGUUCAUCUAUUCAAGCUAAUCAGUUUACUGGACAAUGUUAUGCACGAGCAUGUGCUCUUUCAGCGAUAGUUGAUGAAGGCAAAGCACAAAGAGCAUUAGAGAAGGUUUUUCACCAGAAUAUCUUAAAGAAUAUGGAUGCAGAACAGGGGCCAGCCAAUGGGAUCUAACUGUUGGAACAGUUAAAAUGACAACAUUGCAGUCAAGAAAAAUAUGGUCUGGUGUUACAUAUGCAGUUGCUAUAACGAUAAUCAUGGAGAUUUGGUCGAUAUGGGAUUUCAAAUUUCCAUUGAAAUCUAUGAAGUAGCAUGGUCUGAAAAUGCACUUGUUUAUUUUUUCUAAACUCCUGAAGCUUGGACCACCAUUGAUUGUUUUAGAGCGCUAAAUUACAUGCAUUCGUUGGCCAUAU